rnacentral:misc_RNA from 1 species
GAUGAAGAACGCAGCAAAAUGCGAUAAGUAAUGUGAAUUGCAGAAUUCAGUGAAUCAUCGAAUCUUUGAACGCACAUUGCGCCCGCUGGUAUUCCGGCGGGCAUGCCUGUUCGAGCGUCAUUUCAACCCUCAAGCCCUGCUUGUGUUGGGGUCCUGCGGCUGCCCGCAGGCCCUGAAAACCAGUGGCGGGCUCGCUAGUCACACCGAGCGCAGUAAUACAUCUCGCUUUGGUCGUGCGGCGGGUUCUUGCCGUUAAACACCCCCCUUUCCAAAGGUUGACCUCGGAUCAGGUAGGAAUACCCGCUGAACUUAAGCAUAUCAAUAAGCGGAGGA